rnacentral:tRNA from 1 species
GUCCCUGUAGCUUAAACAAAGCAUGACACUGAAGAUGUCAAGAUGGCUGUU